CAGAGACUCCAAAUCUGUCAGAACUUGCUUUGAGGGUUUUGUCUCAGCCAAUCAGUAGCUCCUCAGCUGAGAGAAACUGGAGUACGUAUUCGUACAUCCACAAUGUGAAAAGGAAUAGGCUUAAUUCUAAAACAGCAGACAAGCUGGUCUACGUUCACUCCAAUAUUCGCCUCUUGUCAAGGUUUUCAGAAGACUACAAAGCAGGCCCUAACAGCAAGUGGGAUGCAAUUCCAGAAGAUACUUCUUUGGAGGAAUCAAGAGUUAAGCUGGAGCAGUUGCGCUGGACGAAUUUGGAGGAUGAUGCCGAGGUUGAUCUUGAUCCUCCAAAUGACGAGCCGGGCCCCUCAUCAUCAAAGAAAAGGAAUGCUAGAAAUAAUAACUGAGUUCACACAUCAGCAGAAGCGCAGGAGGCAAGGAUGCAGGAGUGCUGUAGCUGUAGAAGGCUAGAAGCAGGAGCGUGGAACAGCAAGAGCGUCGCUGCCAUCCGUCGUCAGUCGUCCUCCCGCUUCUAUAUUCAAUAAAAUAAAUUUAGAUUGUGAAGAGAGUAUCAGACUAUUUGUUGGUUUCGAAUUUUUCGUAAUUGGAUUGUGAUGUGUGAUUUAUCUUUUAUAUUAUAUAAUUGAAUUCCUAUCGAUCCAAAAUACAUUGGAUCACGACCCUA